CGGCACGGGUGAGUAACACGUAUCCAACCUGCCGUCUACUCUUGGACAGCCUUCUGAAAGGAAGAUUAAUACAAGAUGGCAUCAUGAGUCCGCAUGUUCACAUGAUUAAAGGUAUUCCGGUAGACGAUGGGGAUGCGUUCCAUUAGAUAGUAGGCGGGGUAACGGCCCACCUAGUCUUCGAUGGAUAGGGGUUCUGAGAGGAAGGUCCCCCACAUUGGGACUGAGACACGGCCCAA
rnacentral:rRNA from 1 species